GAUGAACGCUAGCGGCAGGCUUAAUACAUGCAAGUCGAGGGGCAGCAUGAGUGUAGCAAUACAUUUGAUGGCGACCGGCAAACGGGUGCGGAACACGUACAGAACCUUCCUUCGAGCGGGGAAUAGCCCAGAGAAAUUUGGAUUAAUACCCCAUAGUACAACGGAGUGGCAUCACUUUGUUGUUAAAGAUUUAUCACUUGAAGAUGGCUGUGCGGCUGAUUAGGUAGUUGGCGGGGUAACGGCCCACCAAGCCUGCGAUCAGUAACUGGUGUGAGAGCACGACCAGUCACACGGGCACUGAGACACGGGCCCGACUCCUACGGGAGGCAGCAGUAAGGAAUAUUGGUCAAUGGACGAAAGUCUGAACCAGCCAUGCCGCGUGGAGGAUGAAGGUCCUCUGGAUUGUAAACUUCUUUUAUAUGGGACGAAAAAGGCUUUUCUAAGUCGUCUGACGGUACCAUAUGAAUAAGCACCGGCUAACUCCGUGCC
rnacentral:rRNA from 1 species